GCGCCCUUAGCUCAGUGGAUAGAGCGUUGGCCUCCGGAGCCAAAGGCCAGAGGUUCGAAUCCUCUAGGGCGCGCCA
rnacentral:tRNA from 1 species